CUCAAAGUAAACAGGACAGAAGCAGAAGCAUCACUUUGCCUGUCUGCACACGUCAGAUUUUACACAUACACACACAAGAUCCAUCCGAUCCAUCCUAUGUGUGUGUUAGCAGCCGUGCUGGUAGUGUGUCGUGCGUGCAUGUGUGUGUCUGCGCAGGCAUCCCUUCGUCUGUGUCCACUGAAGUAGUAACUCUGAGUGCUCAUCGCGGCCGCUCGAGAAGGGAGGGGACAAGAAGUGAGGACAGAGUGAGAGGUGAGAGGACAGACUCCGUCUCUAUGAGUAAGGGGUCCCGUGUCCACAUGCUGUGCUCCAUGGCCAACUCCGGCUGUGUGCUGCUGUCCGGGUCCGGGAUGUUACCCCACUCUCUGCAAUGCCCGCCUGCUUUCCUCUAUCUGCCCCAGGGCAACCAAGAGGCCCCAGCUCCUCCUGAAGCCAUGGCCCAACCCUUCCCACCGGCCCAGUACCCCCCUCCACCACAGAAUGGCAUUCCAGCAGAGUAUGCCACGCCCCACGCUCACCCGCCAGCAGACUAUACAGGGCCGAGCACGGUGGCCGAGCACGCCCUGGCGCUGUACACAGCAACACACACACAGAGCGAUCAGCCAGGCAACGACAGCCACGCCCCCGCCAACACAGCCAACACAGUAACGCAGGCAGAAGAGGUUGUACAGACGGAGGGCUCCCAGCAGCUCCACAUGCAGUCCAGCGAUUCAUCGGAGAAGCAGCAGCCCAAGAGGUUACACGUCUCCAACAUCCCUUUCCGUUUCCGAGACCCUGACCUCCGGCAAAUGUUCGGGCAAUUUGGCAAGAUUUUAGACGUGGAGAUUAUUUUUAACGAGCGAGGGUCCAAGGGCUUUGGGUUUGUAACAUUUGAAACAAGUGCAGAUGCUGACCGUGCACGGGAGAAACUAAAUGGUACAAUCGUAGAGGGACGCAAAAUAGAGGUCAACAAUGCCACGGCCAGAGUAAUGACCAACAAAAAGGUGGCAAACCCUUAUGUGAAUGGCUGGAAGCUGAAUCCAGUGGUCGGAGCAGUGUAUGGCCCUGAAUUUUAUGCAGUCACAGGGUUUCCUUACCCCAGUACAGGAACAGCCGUGGCCUAUAGAGGGGCCCAUUUGAGAGGGAGGGGUCGCGCCGUCUACAACACAUUUCGUGCUGCACCUCCUCCUCCACCCAUCCCGGCCUAUGGAGCUGUGGUGUACCAGGACGGCUUUUAUGGAGCAGAAAUAUAUGGAGGGUAUGCAGCUUACAGAUACGCCCAGCCGGCUGCUACUGCUGCAGCUGCAUACAGUGACAAUUAUGGCAGAGUGUAUGCAACAGCAGACCCAUACCACCAUACGAUUGGUCCUGGAGCCACAUAUAGUGUGGGCACUAUGCAAAUGGAGCUGCUGGGGUGCAAAACCAUUUCAGACUUGAUCUGACAGGGUUAGAUGAUUAACCCAUAAUCAUCUGCAUCACGUUCAAAAGGAAACUUGUAUAUAUUAAAUAAAAGAAAGACUAGAGGGAUGAUUACAGAUGGCCAUCAACUAAAAAAAGAGCAACACGGACACAGAAGGACACUUAAAAAAGAUCAGCUAUUUGUAAUAGCUAUUUGUAAAGGAGCCCUUCUAUCAAGAACGCCAGUCUAAGAAGACGGACGCGGGAGGUUUUUGGGUCUGCUCCGAGGCCAUGGCCUGAACCAGCCAGUAGUCUGCCUCCGACCCCUGACGAGUGGAGGAGACCCCAGAGUCACCAGAAAACAUUUUAUUUUUAUAAACUUUUUAAGUUUAUGAUUUCCAAAAAGAGCAAACAUAAUGUACGUAUAUACAUAUUAUAUAUAUAUUAUGUGUGUAACAUAGUAAGUAUGUUGAAAAAAAAGAGCAUAUUUGUGUCUUUCGAGUUUAGAUGAGGGAGGUGAGGAGAGGAGAUCACCCCCCGGUCUGUCUUCGGAUUAUCUUCUCCCUCUGCUAGAUGGAACAGGGGUUUUAGGGUGGGUGCAGGCAUGUGUUAUUGUGUGUGUUGAGGGGUGGGGGGGCUAGCAGGUCCAGCAGACAUGCUAUGGGACUACGGGGCAGUCUUCCGCUAAUGAACUGCAGUAAGAUAGUUGUUACUCUGGCUAGUUUUGUUAAGCAGUUUGCAUUUUGUAGAUUCCAAAAAAAGAAUGACAAAUAUGUCUGUGAAAAAGCAGACACUGAAUGAGAGCCACAAGGCGGUUAUUUGAUGAGCUCAGAAGGUCUGCUUGAGGCCUGGCUGCCCCCCCUCGCUACUAAACAUGUCGUAGUGCUGUCGUGGUUUGAGGUGGCUGUGCUGUGUAGUGAACUGCUUUUGUGUAUGGUGUUGGUUAGGACAGGGCGGGGUAGAUGGCACUUUUGAGUCCUAGAAAAGUCCCACCCAUCCGUCAGCGUCCACCGCCGAGAAGGGAUGCUGGAUGGAGUUGGGGGGGCUUAUAUGAAGUAAAAAAAAGUGUCACGAACAAACAAACCUUUUACUAAGAGUCUCUUUAAAUCUUUCUAUUUAUAUGGAUCUCUGCUUUAAUGAAAUCCUAUAUUUAGACAUUGUACUAAUAACAUGCUGUCAGGCAUGGUGGGAGAGUCAGUUGUAGCCAUUUACUAAUGUUGUAUUUAUUGUAUUACCACUAAGGCGAAAAAAACAUUUAUAUAUGAAUAUAGAUAUAUCUAUUUGUGAUCUUCAACUUUUGGACAUAAGUUUUAAACUUUGAUUUUCAACUUCCAUGCAGGAUUCAAUGCACUGUCGAUGUAUGAUGAGGUUUCUACUUGUGUGAUGUUUCAUUUUGUUGACAUUUGUUCCUUUCCCUUCAGUUCAGCUACUGAAUGUAUCUUCAAAAACGCUUAAACUUUUUAGGUAGAUGUUGUUGUUUUAUAUAUACUUCAAAAAGAAAAACAUACAGUACUCUGUAAAUUAUAUACAUGUGUAAAUUAUAUAGCAAAAUGUUUCUGAUAAUAUGCUGGACUUCUUCUACUGACCCAGAUAGAUUGUAAUGCCAUGGUCUAAAAUAAGAAAGAGUAAGGGAAAAAGGCAGAGAUGAGGAAAGCAUUUGAAAGCCUGCAGCCAUGGGGAAGCCAGUGGGAGAGAGAUGUGUAAUCAUCAGAGGAUCAGUCAGGAGUUUUCUCAGCAAGAACAAAGUGAAGGGGAGUUUUCCCUCCUGUGUGAGAGGAAGAGACAGACGGAGGAAGUGUCUCCUUUGAGGUGCAUGGUGUGGACAAAAUAUCAGAUACUUCAAUUGGUACAUCAAGUUGAUUCUAAAUGGGUUGAUACCACUUUGAUUAUUAUCAACAAUUAUAUGAGAAUGAUCAGGAAAAAUGGGGGGGGAAAAAGAAAAGAUUUUUUAUCAUUAUUUAUUUCUUUAGUGAAUAUAGCUAAUUGAAUCUGCCCCUUUGUGUGUGCGUGACUAAAUUAUAAAUCACCCUGCAAAUAUCAUAUAUCUUGAGCUUUUGCUGAGAUAGGCAAGAAAGGAUCUGGUCUUUACGGCCUCUGUCUAUUUUAAAGGAUUAAUAAAGUUUGUUGUCGUCAUUUGCAGACUCCAUGCAGCCAUUUCAUAAAUGUUAUUCACAGUUCAACCUGUCUUGGUGAUUGGUUGACCGACAGCUCCAAAAAAAAAUCAACUUCAUUUUGGUCCUUUACUGUUUGUGCUCUGUGUGGCAGAACUAACGUCUACAACAAUUCAAGGCCUAUAGUGGUGGACUUGAUGUACCCCACAUGAGCUGCUCUGAUGGCAAUCAGCAUAAUUACUACAGAAAAAAAUGCCCCCAUCUCAGGAUUUGUUUGUUUAAAAAACAAAUUAAUACAUGCUCGUUCUUAGUGUACUAUUCAUUAUUUACAAUAUAUAAAUAAAAGCGUCAGCUAAAUGACAUGUAAUGUAAUGUAAAUAGAUCAUUUUUAGGUGAGUAUUUCUUUGAAAAACUGCUUGGUUUUCUUUUAAAGCUGAUAAACAACUUACUGACCUGAUUCAGUUGAUCUGAUGUGGAAUAAGCUCAUUUAUUUUAUGAUUCUGUUAUUUUGCCCACUUCCUGUAGAGCACAGUGUGUAAUGAUGAAAGUGGAGUGACCCGAGGUCCCCCUGGGUUGGCGGCCGACAUUCUAGAGGCCUUGAGUUUGGAAAACAUAAUUUGAGGAGAGGAAUGUUCAAGCUCCUAUUCUUCCCUCUCAUCCUCUUCAGUUCAGCUCCCCUAAUGAGCAAAGACUCAGAUAUUGCUUCGGUGCGAAAGUCCCAGAAAUACCUCCCAUGUAGCUGCAUUCAUUUCUUGAAGUCAUGCAAAGUGCAUGGUGCACAAGGACGGGCUCACACAGGAUGGAUUUCUAACUUAAAACCCAACGAGAGACUGUGGGUGAAUCUCAUUUCUCUGUCUUACCCAUUCCCCUUACCCCUCCCCCUCGGUUUUGCGCGUUCAUGUGAGGGGAAGUGGUGUCUCGAUUCUCAUUUUGAUUAAGGGCUAGGGCCAAGGCGUAGGGCUACAUAGCCCUUGAAACGAAGUUUGCGGAGGACCACACUUGAAACCGAGGGGUAACAGUUAACAACGUAGGAAUUUCUCAAAAGUGCCGGCAUCAAGUUUUUUUUAUGGCUGAACGUCGAACUGUGAAGGAGUCGCACAAAUCUAAGUAUUUUCAGCAGUUUAAUUGAUAUUAUAAUUAUGACACUCGUGUUUUAUGAUCCUUUUAAUAAAAUGUUCAAGUGGUUUUAAUUGUAAUGUUUUUGUUUUGAAUCGGUAGUAAACCGCUAGCUAGCAGCUAUGCGCUAUUUGUCGAGCUGAGCUAUCUAUAUGACAAUUCAUAUUGUCGUCUGAGAAACAAUCGUCUUCUUCUAUGUCUUUGACUGAUGGCACCCAAGCGUGCAAAGAUAAAGAGAGCCCAGGCAAUCGAUAUCACGACCUGAGACGACGGCAUCUUCGUUUAUGUCAACACUUGUCGCCUCUGUUGACGUAGCAGCCAGCUAGCGGCAAGGGAUGAUGACGCAACCAGUUAUCGAGUGGUGUCUCAUUUCUUAGAGGAACUUUCUCACCCCUACCCCCUUUCUCUCGGUAUCGAGGGGCAAGGGGAAGACACAGACGAAGGGGUAGGGGAAGGGGAAGGGGUAAGACAGAGAAAUGAGACGCAGCCUAAGUCAGAC